AUUGAACGCUGGCGGCAUGGCUAAAACAUGCAAGUCGAGCGCGAAAGUGGAGCAAUCCACGAGUAGAGCGGCGAAAGGGUGAGUAAUGCGUUCCUACGUACCUCAAGGUCGGGGAUAGCC
rnacentral:rRNA from 1 species